UUCUUUCUCUCUGUACUGUUUAUAUUUUAACUCUGUAAAUGUAUCUUCAGAAAGAAAAGGAAAGAAAGAAAGAAAUGAAGGGAGGAAGGGAGGAAGGGAGGAAGGAAGGGAGGAAGGGAGGAAGGGAGGAAGGGAGGAAGGGAGGAAGGAAGGAAGGAAGGAAGGAAGGAAGGAAGGAAGGAAGGAAGGAAGGAAGGAAGGAAGGAAGGAAGGAAGGAAGGAAGGGAAAGAAAAAAAACAAAGAAAAAAAGAAAGAAAAAACAUGGAAAGCACUUCAGGUGACAUCUUCCAUGGAGGACCCCUGUUCUUCAAGAUAGGAGAGAAUACUUCUUGAUCCACUAUAUAUGACAGAAUGGCCACAAACAACUGUAAUACAAUACAUCUUCUGUACAACAGGCUGUCUGAACUGGAGACACCUCCUCUCCCCUUUAAGAACAAUCUCUGAGACGGCAAAAUAAAACCCUCCACUUCCCCUACACCUUCUAUUCAGGUAUCUUCUUUCCAUGUAUUGAACCAAUCAUUGACCUUUGAGAUGGCAAAGUGAGUUUACAGAGCAAAAAGAUGAUCUUGUGGCCAUGGCGCAGCAGGUCUGAGUGCGACUACCAUUUCUUAUGCACAUAUUCAUCAUUUAUUAAUCUUACAGGGCUCAGACCAUCCCAAUGAAUCUUCAGCAUACAGGUAAAGAACACCAGAAUUUCCUGUAUCCCAUGCCCAGGCUGCCUCCAUCAGAAAACAGGCCACUGCAUGUGAGCAGGGAGCGAUCAGGUUCUGCUCCCAUUUUCUGCUGUUAUCUCCAGACAAAUUGUGUUAGUUUUACAGGCAAAAUCUAGUUUGUAUUAUUGUUUGCACUUCAGAGUCAAUAUGGAUAUGGAAGAAUAAGCUGAGAUAUAUACCUUGUGCAUCAUUAAUAAUAGUGCAGCUUUUCCGUAGCUACAAUACAAUUCCCAAACAUUUUGUUUAAUAGUAAGCAAUUUAUCAUGUCUGCCGUAUCACAAUCAGGUGGUUUAGUAUCCCCAGUUUACAAGAGGUCCUAUGCUCUGCACCUAUUUGUACUGCUUACACCGGGACAGAUCAACAAUCUGAGUGCUAUCUUUCAACCUGGAAAAUCCAGGUUCAAUUCCCUGGUGUAGCAAAAAAAUGAUCUAGGCUUCAGUAUCCUGUAUAUAAUACACAGAUAAAAAUACUUCCUUACUUUAUCAGAUGCUGUGAGGAUAAAUGCAUUAAAGUCUGUAAGUCCCACCAGUACUACAAUAGCCAUAAUUAUCUUGAAUAGAUACAUGCAGUGCAAGUACAGUGAUAUUUAAUACAUAUCCUAUGUGUAUAAACCAUGAGUCAGGGCUGAUACAAACACAAGCUAUGAUAAGGAAUUAAGAAUGGUGCUUACUUGCAUGCUCUUCCCCCGCUCAUGCUCCAUUAAAAUUUGUAAAUCACAGACCAGAUUCGUUUCUCACUCACGAUGGAGCAUGUCUCCCAGAAUCAGUGGUUUUAUCCCAGCUGUGCACUUAUGUAGGCAGGAGCCCAUUGUCCGAUUUGAGCCACUCAAUCUGCAAGAGAAAGAAUGAAAGGACUCGAGUCUGUAAAGUCAUUCAUUACAAUUUGGAAAUCAGUGGGGCUGCUGGAGGUUAGGCAAGGGCAGAAAUUGGUCUUUUAUCAUUCAAAUGCCAUAGAGGAG
ensembl:lncRNA